CAGCAGCCGCGGGAAUACAGAGGGUGCGAGCGUUAAUCGGAAUUACUGGGCGUAAAGCGCACGUAGGCGGAUACUUAAGUCAGGGGUGAAAUCCCGGGGCUCAACCCCGGAACUGCCUUUGAUACUGGGUAUCUUGAGUCCGGAAGAGGUGAGUGGAAUUCCGAGUGUAGAGGUGAAAUUCGUAGAUAUUCGGAAGGACACCAGUGGCGAAGGCGGCUUACUGGCUCAUACUGGACGCUGAGGUGCGAAAGCGUGGGGAGCAAACAGGAUUAGAUACCCCCGUAGUCCCUGUCUCUUAUAC
rnacentral:rRNA from 1 species